AUGAGUGCACUCUCUUGGAACUGCCGCGAUGCGGGCAAAGCCGCCACAGUUCAAGAAAUUCGCGACUUUGCGAAUAAAUUUUUCCCUACCCUUUUGUGUAUCGUCGAAACUCAGAUAGAAGGCUCAAGGGUAGAAGCAUUAUCAAGUACUUUUGCUUAUGAUAAUUGUUUUGCAAUUGAUAGCAGAGGCAGAAGUGGUGGCAUUGGUGUAUUAUGGAAUAAUGAAACAAAAGUUGAUUUUCUUGGUUACUCGGAGUAUCAUAUCGAUUGCUCAUUAUUGGAAGUGGGUCAGGACCCAUGGAGGUGCACUAUUGUAUAUGAAGAGGCCCAGACCCAUCUCAGACAUCGACCUUGUGAUAUGACCUUUAAUAACAAAAUGAAGGAUUUCACAUGUGUUAUACGAGCUACGCCACACAUUAAUCAAGAGAAGAGAGACGCAUGUUACUUGAAGGUCUCUGUACAUGCAAACACAGAAACCCCAGCUGCAUUUUAUGUUAGUUCUAUUUGCAUGGAGGUGCCACCAGCUAGUCCAAAGAAAGAUACGGUGAUGCCAAACUUCAGAACACCUCGAAGAUGGUAG
rnacentral:rRNA from 1 species